rnacentral:rRNA from 1 species
UACGUAGGGGGCCAGCGUUGUCCGGAAUCAUUGGGCGUAAAGAGCGCGUAGGCGGCUUGGCAAGUCCGCUGUGAAAACUCGAGGCUCAACCUCGAGAUGUCGGUGGAAACUGCUUGGCUAGAGUCCGGAAGAGGAGUGUGGAAUUCCUGGUGUAGCGGUGAAAUGCGCAGAUAUCAGGAAGAACACCUAUGGCGAAGGCAGCACUCUGGGACGGUACUGACGCUGAGACGCGAAAGCGUGGGGAGCGAACAGG